rnacentral:rRNA from 1 species
AUUGAACGCUGGCGGCAGGCCUAACACAUGCAAGUCGAGCGGUAGAGAGGUGCUUGCAUCUCUUGAGAGCGGCGGACGGGUGAGUAAUGCCUAGGAAUCUGCCUAGUGGUGGGGGGAUAACGUUCGGAAACGGACGCUAAUACCGCAUACGUCCUACGGGAGAAAGCGGGGGGAUCUUCGGACCUCGCGCCAUUAGAUGAGCCUAGGUCGGAUUAGCUAGUUGGUGAGGUAAUGGCUCACCAAGGCGACGAUCCGUAACUGGUCUGAGAGGAUGAUCAGUCACACUGGAACUGAGACACGGUCCAGACUCCUACGGGAGGCAGCAGUGGGGAAUAUUGGACAAUGGGCGAAAGCCUGAUCCAGCCAUGCCGCGUGUGUGAAGAAGGUCUUCGGAUUGU